rnacentral:lncRNA from 1 species
UCAACAAGUAGAAUAAUUUUUCACUAUUUAUUUUUAUUAAUUAUAAAUUAAAUUCUGCUACUAUACUAUCGAUAGAACUAACCACUUAAUAUUAUUGAGUUUUCUGUCAUUAGAUCUAUUUUUUAACCAUCUCCGCCCGGUAGAUCAUACAACUACCCAUUCAAUCAUAAAAAAUCACUAUUAUCCUAAUUGCACAUCCCUUCAUCUAAGAACCGAAACCUAAUAGCACUAACUGCUUGACUAUUAAUAGUAUCGUAGUGGUAGUAUAGCGGCUUAAUUCAUUAUAAAUUUAUGUUGUUUUGUUCAUGAAUAAUAGUUGUUUUGAGUUGCUAUGAUAUGCAAAAAAUAUAUUUAGUAUAUUAAUUAUCUUUAAUUAAUCGUAUUUGUUUAUUAUUGUUGUUUGUGAAAAGUAAUUAGUUUUUUUUAUUGGUAAUUAGCAUAUGAUUAAUUUUAUGUGGUUUGAAAGAAACUAAUUUAUUUAUGAAUAAUAUUUG